rnacentral:rRNA from 1 species
GAUGAACGCUGGCGGCGUGCCUAAUACAUGCAAGUCGAGCGAACAGACGAGGAGCUUGCUCCUCUGACGUUAGCGGCGGACGGGUGAGUAACACGUGUAUAACCUACCUAUAAGACUGGGAUAACUUCGGGAAACCGGAGCUAAUACCGGAUAAUAUAUUGAACCGCAUGGUUCAAUAGUGAAAGACGGUUUUGCUGUCACUUAUAGAUGGAUCCGCGCCGCAUUAGCUAGUUGGUAAGGUAACGGCUUACCAAGGCAACGAUGCGUAGCCGACCUGAGAGGGUGAUCGGCCACACUGGAACUGAGACACGGUCCAGACUCCUACGGGAGGCAGCAGUAGGGAAUCUUCCGCAAUGGGCGAAAGCCUGACGGAGCAACGCCGCGUGAGUGAUGAAGGUCUUCGGAUCGUAAAACUCUGUUAUUAGGGAAGAACAAAUGUGUAAGUAACUAUGCACGUCUUGACGGUACCUAAUCAGAAAGCCACGGCUAAAUACGGG